CCUACGGGAGGCAGCAGUGAGGAAUAUUGGACAAUGGGCGCAAGCCUGAUCCAGCCAUGCCGCGUGCAGGAAGACGGUCCUAUGGAUUGUAAACUGCUUUUGUACAGGAAGAAACACUCCCUCGUGAGGGAGCUUGACGGUACUGUAAGAAUAAGGAUCGGCUAACUCCGUGCCAGCAGCCGCGGUAAUACGGAGGAUCCAAGCGUUAUCCGGAAUCAUUGGGUUUAAAGGGUCCGUAGGCGGUUUAAUAAGUCAGUGGUGAAAUCUGGUCGCUCAACGAUCAAACGGCCAUUGAUACUGUUAGACUUGAAUUAUUAGGAAGUAACUAGAAUAUGUAGUGUAGCGGUGAAAUGCUUAGAUAUUACAUGGAAUACCAAUUGCGAAGGCAGGUUACUACUAAUGGAUUGACGCUGAUGGACGAAAGCGUGGGGAGCGAACAGGAUUAGAUACCCUGGUAGUCCACGCCGUAAACGAUGGAUACUAGCUGUUCGGAGCAAUCUGAGUGGCUAAGCGAAAGUGAUAAAGUAUCCCACCUGGGGAGUAACGUUCGCAAGAAUGAAACUUCAAAAUUGAGUUAGAGGCGNGAGAGNGCGACGGACGACGACGAGGAGGAGG
rnacentral:rRNA from 1 species